CCGCUGCAAUAGCGUAUAUUAAAGUUGUUGUGGUUAAAAGCUCGUAGUUGAACCUUGGGCCUGGCUGGCCGGUCCGCCUCACCGCGUGUACUGGUCCGGCCGGGCCUUUCCCUCUGUGGAACCUCAUGCCCUUCACUGGGUGUGGCGGGGAAACAGGACUUUUACUUUGAAAAAAUUAGAGUGCUCCAGGCAGGCCUAUGCUCGAAUACAUUAGCAUGGAAUAAUAAAAUAGGACGCGUGGUUCUAUUUUGUUGGUUUCUAGGACCGCCGUAAUGAUUAAUAGGGACAGUCGGGGGCAUCAGUAUUCAAUUGUCAGAGGUGAAAUUCUUAGAUUUAUUGAAGACUAACUACUGCGAAAGCAUUUGCCAAGGAUGUUUUCAUUAAUCAGGAACGAAAGUUAGGGGAUCGAAGACGAUCAGAUACCGUCGUAGUCUUAACCAUAAACUAUGCCGACUAAGGGAUCGGA
rnacentral:rRNA from 1 species